UUAAAGAAAGCGUAAUAGCUCACUGGUCGAGUCGGCCUGCGCGGAAGAUGUAACGGGGCUAAGUAGUAAACCGAAGCUGCGGCAAUAUACUUUUGUAUAUUGGGUAGGGGAGCGUUCUGUAAGCGGUUGAAGGUGUGUGGUAACGCAUGCUGGACGUAUCAGAAGUGCGAAUGCUGACAUGAGUAACGAUAAAGGGGGUGAAAAACCUCCUCGCCGGAAGACCAAGGGUUCCUGUCCAACGUUAAUCGGGGCAGGGUAAGUCGACCCCUAAGGCGAGGCCGAAAGGCGUAGUCGAUGGGAAACGGGUUAAUAUUCCCGUACUUCUUACAAUUGCGAUGGGGGGACGGAGAAGGCUAGGUGGGCCUGGCGACGGUUGUCCAGGUUCAAGUGCGUAGGCUUAAGAGUUAGGUAAAUCCGGCUCUUUCUAAGGCUGAGACACGACGUCGAGCAUCUACGGAUGUGAAGUCAUUGAUGCCAUGCUUCCAGGAAAAGCCUCUAAGCUUCAGAUUGUAAGGAAUCGUACCCCAAACCGACACAGGUGGUCGGGUAGAGAAUACCAAGGCGCUUGAGAGAACUCGGGUGAAGGAACUAGGCAAAAUGGUACCGUAACUUCGGGAGAAGGUACGCUCUCGACGGUGAAGUCCCUCGCGGAUGGAGCUAUUGAGAGUCGCAGAUACCAGGUGGCUGCAACUGUUUAUUAAAAACACAGCACUGUGCAAAAUCGUAAGAUGACGUAUACGGUGUGACGCCUGCCCGGUGCCGGAAGGUUAAUUGAUGGGGUUAGACUUC
rnacentral:rRNA from 1 species